AAAAUCAAGAUUUCAGAUCACAUGUUUGGGUUUCCGAAUGUUUAGAAAAAUCUGAGUUUAUAUGAAUUAUUAUUUUCACUAUUAUUUUUAUUCAUACUAUUAUUUUUAUUUUUUAAAUUAUUUUAUCAUUUUUAGAUAAAUAAAUUUUUAUUUAUUAUUUCUAAAUUAAAAAAUUUAUAUUUUUAACUACCAUCACCAUCAACACUACCUUCAUCAUUGCCAUCAUUUCUAUCAAGGUCACUAUCAUCAUCUCCACCA
rnacentral:lncRNA from 1 species